UUAGCGGCGGACGGGUGAGUAACACGUGGGUAACCUGCCUGUAAGACUGGGAUAACUCCGGGAAACCGGAGCUAAUACCGGAUAGUUCCUUGAACCGCAUGGUUCAAGGAUGAAAGACGGUUUCGGCUGUCACUUACAGAUGGACCCGCGGCGCAUUAGCUAGUUGGUGAGGUAACGGCUCACCAAGGCGACGAUGCGUAGCCGACCUGAGAGGGUGAUCGGCCACACUGGGACUGAGACACGGCCCAGACUCCUACGGGAGGCAGCAGUAGGGAAUCUUCCGCAAUGGACGAAAGUCUGACGGAGCAACGCCGCGUGAGUGAUGAAGGUUUUCGGAUCGUAAAGCUCUGUUGUUAGGGAAGAACAAGUGCAAGAGUAACUGCUUGCACCUUGACGGUACCUAACCAGAAAGCCACGGCUAACUACGUGCCAGCAGCCGCGGUAAUACGUAGGUGGCAAGCGUUGUCCGGAAUUAUUGGGCGUAAAGGGCUCGCAGGCGGUUUCUUAAGUCUGAUGUGAAAGCCCCCGGCUCAACCGGGGAGGGUCAUUGGAAACUGGGAAACUUGAGUGCAGAAGAGGAGAGUGGAAUUCCACGUGUAGCGGUGAAAUGCGUAGAGAUG
rnacentral:rRNA from 1 species